UACGUAGGUGGCAAGCGUUAUCCGGAAUUAUUGGGCGUAAAGAGCGCGCAGGUGGUUGAUUAAGUCUGAUGUGAAAGCCCACGGCUUAACCGUGGAGGGUCAUUGGAAACUGGGGAACUUGAGUGCAGAAGAGGAGAGUGGAAUUCCAUGUGUAGCGGUGAAAUGCGUAGAUAUAUGGAGGAACACCAGUGGCGAAGGCGACUCUCUGGUCUGUAACUGACGCUGAGGCUCGAAAGCGUGGGGAGCAAACAGGAUUAGA
rnacentral:rRNA from 1 species